rnacentral:lncRNA from 1 species
AAUAGUAGAAACCUGAUAUCACAAAUGAUAAUAUCCUUUGUAGGUACAACUUUAUUCCAUGUUUGUGGCUGGAACAUGUGUACAUCAGAAACUUUAACUACAAUAUGGUAAACAUCUCCACGACCAAGCAAGAAAUCAGAAAUAGAACAGCGGACAUCUUAAGUAAAGCAAGCACCGGCCAAUUACAUAUAAGUCUGUAUUAAUCCUCAGCACUGUCCAUGACGAAGAGGGUACAUAGGGUAGCAUACAGACUGCAACAUCUGCUUGUCCUUCGACAACAUCACAACAUUAACUAACCACAUGGGUCAAACACAUAAAUAAAUAAAUGUCGGACAAUAUGGUGCAACAGAAUCGGAGCUAGCAGAGACACGGGAAACUGCCUUAGAACAUCCAAAGAGACGCCCCCAUAGCCACACAUCAUUACUUCGUGCAUCCACAAACAAAAGGAUAGGGUCCUGCAUAUAUAUAGAUAGAUAGAUUUGCAAGCCCAGAUCAGCAGGAUGUCGGAGUCAUUUCUGAUGCAUAAUAAGGUUCAUGAUAUUUAAACAGUGAUAAUGGUAGACUUUGCAUAACAUGACAACGCAUCAUAUCUCAUAAUUAGAAUACAUUAUAUUACUGAAAAAUGAACUGAGGUGACCAAUUGGAAUACUCCCAUUUAGGUGACCACAUUCCAUAGUUUAAAUUCAAAAAUUAGGCUUCUCCCUAAAGCAUACACUCAGAUAGGGUGCAUUGAAAAAGAGUCUGGAUGAAACACAGGGGCAUACCUUCGAUGUUUCAUUGCGCAUCUCAAUAGAGACAUUAUUAUCUUAUGGACCUCGUUAAAAUCAAUGAUCUUAUUAGUUGCAACUAUAAUUAUAUGAAACUGGUGCCUGCAACGAAAAAUGACAAACCAUGAUGUAUCAGAAAUGAAUUAAGCAGCUAGUUGCAGCACGACAUACCCAACUUCUCACCUCUGUCUUGCCUCCACCGACCAGUUAGAAUUUUUUUUCUUCAUUUAUCAAUACACAUAGUGACACACCAACGCCUUGACUAUGCUCUAGCUAUCACAAUGGUUUACAAAAUUCUAGAUUUGUAUUCAAACAAAUGAACUAUAUAAUGAGUCAUGAUAUGUGGGUGAGCCUUGCUUCUGUUCGGUUGUAAUUAUAGGGAGCAUGCUAGGUUGGGAGUCUAGCUUCUCUCUGUGUGUAAAGAUAGUGUGUCAAGAGAGCCUUGCUUUUGUUCGGUUACAACUUUAGCAAGCUUUCUAUAGAGAAAGUUUAAUGAGAACACUUAGAUAGCAAGUAAGCCAUGUGAGAUUAAAAAAAGCACGGACACCAGCAGGAGAACUAAAAUAUUCCAGUUUCAUAAAAUGCAUCUCCUUUGUACCUCUUAUGAUUAGAGGAAAGGCCAUAAGGGAAGAACCUAAAGUUACCAUAGAAUUUAUACAUACAUGUAAUUACAGCAGCAGGGCGCUAUGCUAUUGGUGGUAUCCUUUUUAUAUAUAUCCUCACUGGUUAGCUGACAUAAGAAAAGGAAAAGAUCAGAAGGGUAUAACAGUUAUGAAGCUAUACCAGUUAUUAAACAAUGUGCCAGGCUCACAGGGAAAAAUUCAGCGAGUUUUCCUAGGAGUAAUACAAAGAAAAACCUGAAACUGAAAAUAUACACUCAUAAGAGUGGCCGAAGUAAGUUUUCCGCAUAACACAGCGAAUGCAAUUUCAUAAGAGGUAGCAAAACCAUGUAAUGCAAAUAGUCUGUGUUUUUUUGGGAUGUAUAGAGCAAAACGAUUCAAUAACCCAAGGGGAAUAUUAUGUUGCAGCGAAUAUAUCAAGCUGGGUUAUAAUGCAUAAAAGGAUGACAACAGACAAUAGUGAGAUAAGAAGGUAAACAGGGUUUGUCGGGCACUAAUUAUGUUGUAGCACAAAAUACUAAUAAAUAGUAACUCUAAAGAUCCGUUAGGAGCUGGGGAAGGAACUGUAAAUAGCAUACGUCAGCAGAUUAAGCAAAGAGGCACUGUGAUUAUACAGAGAGACUCCAACACCAAACAAUCAAAGGGCGACAUCAAUCACAUACAUGGGAUGGAGGAAGAGAGCACAGACCAUACUUAAAGCAUGUCAUCAGAGAACUAACCAUCUGGAUAGGACAUGAAAAUGCAACUUUUCCUAUUAUUUGCUUUCAUAGAAACCAUCGACACCAACAGCUCAAAGAUCUACUUCUACAUAACAAAUUCAGACAAUAAAAUUAAAAUUGAUCACCAUGGUUACACAUUUCCUAUUAUUUACUUUCGAAGUGUAACACCAUAUUGAGCAAGACUAAGGUAAAAGCAGGAAAGCUUAAAAUUGAUCACCACAAUUACACAAAAGGCGCAUUUUUCCUUCUAUAGGGAACCAAAUAUAGCUCAAUGUAUGAUAAUUAUUUGUUAUUAUAUAUUUAAUCAGCAAAGUCUUGAGAGAGAGGGGGUCUGACCUAUUGAAGGGGCCACAGGAGCAAGGGGUGAGGAGAUGCUCGGAAGCGGCACCGCUAGCCUACAACACCUCAAAGGCUGAAGCCGACCAGCUAGACUCCUGAUGCUCACCCGCCCGCACUUGGUCCUCUUGCCUAUGACACUGUAUAGCAGAAACACAUAAACUUGAUCACACAGAGAUUAGAGCAAGUUUCUUGUUGCAAAAUAAGAGAGCAUAUUCCUAACACACACAAUCGAUGCUAUUCAUUCCCAUCCAGUCGUAUGUGUAUAUGUUUUCACUAUGCGGUUUGAUACACUGAGACUUCACCUCCAAUUCAAGCAUAAUCAUAUGACAAAUGGUAUAGUGAAACUGACUUUGAUUUUCUAAAGCUUGGAGCCUUAAAUAUUUGAAUAAGAGAACAUAAAAAAACAAGUUCACUGAGUAAUCCUGUAUGGAGAUCACAUUAUCUGUCUAGAGAAGUACAACAAAACGGAUUGUGGAGGGAUAACUUCAACACGCAAAUAGUGGCCCUUUGAGCAAAAAUUCUAGAAUCUCUUGAAACAAUUACGUGAGUGCGGUGUAUGCGCAUAACUUACCUUAGCGACAGGUGGAAGAGGCAGUCAGAACUACGCACGGUUGCUCUCCUUCUUCCAACCUUCCUCUUCAGCUUGCCUCCUCUUUUUGUAAGCACUGCCCU